rnacentral:rRNA from 1 species
UACGAAGGGGGCUAGCGUUGCUCGGAAUCACUGGGCGUAAAGCACACGUAGGCGGAUUGCUAAGUCAGGGGUGAAAUCCUGGAGCUCAACUCCAGAACUGCCUUUGAUACUGAAGAUCUUGAGUUCGGGAGAGGUGAGUGGAACUGCGAGUGUAGAGGUGAAAUUCGUAGAUAUUCGCAAGAACACCAGUGGCGAAGGCGGCUCACUGGCCCGAUACUGACGCUGAGGCACGAAAGCGUGGGGAGCAAACAGG